UACGUAGGGUGCGAGCGUUGUCCGGAAUUACUGGGCGUAAAGAGCUCGUAGGUGGUUUGUCGCGUUGUUCGUGAAAACCGGGGGCUUAACCCUCAGCGUGCGGGCGAUACGGGCAGACUUGAGUACUGCAGGGGAGACUGGAAUUCCUGGUGUAGCGGUGGAAUGCGCAGAUAUCAGGAGGAACACCGGUGGCGAAGGCGGCUUCCUGGCCUGCUCUUGACGCUGAGGCGCGAGAGCGUGGGGAGCAAACUGG
rnacentral:rRNA from 1 species